GCAAAUUAUGGCCUACUACUUUGAAGCAUCUUCCACAUGCAAAAUGAUACUUGGUCAACCCAAAUAUCACAGGCUCAAAUAAUCUGUAGAAAAAUCUGGUUGAAAAGUACAGCAGUGUUGACAUUCUAGCUAGCCGCUAAUCCCGACCUGAUCCAAAUAAGCUUUCGUUUUCGCGUGCAACAAUUGUUAAUAACAGCAAAUACCCAGCUGGGUCUUGGUUGCUUUGCCGAAAAGAUUGUUCUGAUGAACCAGUAAUUCCUCGUGCGAAUGACCAGGCAGUCCAACUACGAUCUCGCCGGGAGAGCCAUCGGGAAGGACCUGGUGAGCAACCCGGACCUGGUCUCUACGGACGCGGUGGUGUCGUUCAGGACGGCGAUGUGGUUCUGGAUGACGGCGCAGGGCAACAAGCCGUCAAGCCACGACGUCGCCCUAGGCCGCUGGACGCCGACGGCCGCCGACACCGCUGCCGGUCGGGUGCCCGGAUACGGCGUGAUCACUAAUAUCAUCAACGGCGGGCUCGAGUGUGGCAUUGGCCAGAACGAUGCCAACGUCGAUCGCAUCGGCUACUACAUGCGCUACUGCAGCAUACUCGGCACGGCCACCGGGGGCAACCUCGACUGCUACACCCAGCGAAACUUCGCUAGUUAGACAGUGUAUCCACGCCUUAUGAAUAAGUGUCUAUACUUAUGCCAUUGUGGAAUAAAUAAUUCAACAUGUGAUCAGUUGAUUCGUAUGGUAAUACGACUAAGUUGUUGCAACAAAUUAUGGAAAUUAAAUAAAAUCAGAUGAUAUUGUUAUGUUGUGUACACAAGAUAAUGUAUAACAGGCCGACCAGAGUGAUAGCUGUGUGUUUUUUUCCGGGGAAAGUAUGAUAGCUGUGUUGCUUGUCCAAUCAGUAGUGCCCUCAUGUCGCGAACCAAUUUGUGAUUAGAUGGUUAGAAGGACACAAGGAUAGUGGUAUCCAGCUCAUCAGGGUUCAAGUUCCAUACUUGACAUUUUGUGCUCGCAUUAUUUCUGGAUUUAUUUCAGUUCUCCGGCGAUGUUCGUUCAGUGGGAGAAGACAUUCGGUCAACUGCGAGACGUCUAUGGUGACUUUAUAAAAUCUCAAGACACUAUACCAACUCAGUCUCUCGGAGGUGCUUAUAGGGGUAGGAUGUGCGUGUUGUGUUCAUAAGGGUAAGUGUACUUUAGUGUAUGUGAGCGAUUUCAAUUGUACUGUGUUAAAGAAAAGCAGUACCCUUAUGUCCGGCUAUAGGGCAGCCUCGCCUAAAGAGAGCGUUGUUGUACUGCAUCGUCACAAUGUGCGGGUGGAGAUGAUUUUUUUUCUUUUUUUCAAUGUUUAUUGUUUUUACCUUUUCCUUUAUUUUUUUACUUUUAUUUAUACUUCCAAAUAUUCCAAACAUAUUUGAUAUAUAUUACCAAAAACACUCUCACAUAAAACAUUUCGAAAAUGUUAAUCAAGUAUUUAAAAAAUAUUAAAUGUGUAUAGAAAAAUGUUGCUCGUGUAUAUGGAAAAUGUAUACAGAAAAAUACAUAAUGUGUAUUAAAAAAGUUGAUCAUGUAUUCAAACUUUGGCACCUUUUGGGUUCCUUUGCUAUAUUUAGAGAAUUAGUUAAUUUCAAGAUAUUUAAUGGAGGUAAAUGAUUGUUGAUUUUUAAAAAGAUUUAAAAAUGAAGUCUAAAAAGGCUGAAACUUGGCAUGACCUCAUGAUAAGAUCGAUAGAGGGUGCGGUAAAAGAUUGAGAGAGUUGUCUAAAAGUUGUGAUGCACUUUCCUUAGAAACUGAAGAGUUGACCUGGAGCACUGUUUCAUCACCGCUGCUGAACGUCCAUGGCUCCCGCGACACCUGUAAGAAAUUUAGGUUUUUGGUCUACCCCCUAUUCCUCUGCGCUUAUCCGUGGUGCCGCUCACAAUUUGCAUCUCUGAGGCUAGGGGGUAGGGACCUUCUUAUACUGUCUUUCCAAAGAGUCCACCUCUUAUACAGAUAUAAGAUUUCUAGUUUUUCUUCCACUAGUUUCCGGGAUAGAGUCCAGAUCAAAUUACCAACCACGAUCAUAUUUGUCUGUUAACGGAUUCUACCCGUUAUGUCCCCGGAGCACGCGCUUGUGAGCAACGCGCCAUAAUAGAGUGUAAAUUCCUCUAAUUACGUAGAUCAACGUUAGGGCUGUAAUCUAACUAUACGAUCUAGCUCCUUCCAAUCAUCAAUGUACCCGGGUAGUCUUUCCAAUAUAAAUAAUAUAUUGUAUUUCACUGAUAAUCGACCAGCUUCCUUAAGCAUAUAUCACUUAAGUACAUUUCAGCAAGUAACAAUUCCAUGCUAAACAUGUAAAUCAAUUCCAUGUAUAAAUACAUGUACAAUUCCAUAAUGAUGUAUUCCGAAUAUUAGUAAUUCCUAGUAAUUUGAAUAUAGUUGCAGGACACAUAAUUCCGACAUCUCCCACUUGUCCCAAACGACCAUUCAAAUAUUCGUAAACCCAUAGCCUUAACAUGCUUGCCAAAUACCUCCUGACUAAGAGGCUUAGUCAAGGGAUCAACAAUCAUAUUAACACAAUGUUGAAAACCCACAAAUAUAUAAAUAUAGUGAUACUUCCCUUCAAUAUGUUUCCUUGCUGUGACACGAGAGACUUUAAAUUUCCGCCUAAUUAUUCCAGCAUAGUUGUCCUCGGCGUCUCGACUAUUAUUUCCUCGAGUGUAAUUCCACCUUUAUAGGCACCUUGAGUAUUUUGUUUCCUCAAGUGAAUUUCCACAUCAAUUAUUUCCAACCACAUAUAUCAAUAAUAUGAAUAAUUCCACAUCGAGUCAAGUAUAAGAUAACCAUGUUGAAUAAAAUUUUAAAACCACAUACAUAUCAAAUCCAAUCACUAAAUGAAGUUCCAUCAGUAACCAUGCUUUGUAAGAAAUUCCUGACUUCAGUCAGUGAACCUGCACCAUAUUAGUACUUAAAACAAUAAUUGAAUAUGCGUACCUGGACUUAUUUCUCAUCUCGUAGAUAGAAUAAUAACUUCCUCAAUGUGUUUACCUUUAAUAUAAAUUUCAGAACAAGUGACAGGUUGUGAUGCACUUUCCACAAUCUUAUAUGAUGUGUGAGAUUCCCUUAGCUGCUCGUCUGUCCUUCCAUUGCUUGAAUGCAACAUAAAUUCCGGUAGCUAAGGUAUGAUAAUAUAAUGAAGAUACAUAUCAAUUUCAGUACCAUUUAUUGUUCCAUUUUUCCUCAGGAGUUCAAAUAUAAUUCCUCACUAAGUAUGAUUUCCUUUAUCAAAGGUAUUUUUAACAUAUUUGCAAUUUUCCAUAGAGAAACACUUCAAAAUAUUUUCUAUGUAUUUCCACUCCCGAAACAUUGGAAGCUCCAGAAAUUCCUUUCAUAUGAAAGUUAGAAAAUGACCAAGCUUACACUUCCAUCAAUGUGAGUUAUCAAUGCACAAACAGCCAAAGAAUGUUAAUUUAUACAAUAUAAUGUAAACUAUUUUACACUUACAUUUGUAGAUGACCGCCUUGCUUCAUUCAAAAAAAAAACAUAUGACCUGCUAUUCCAUUGAUGUGAAGCUUGUUAUAAGACCAUACAUUAAUAUACUCAAUUAGCAAACCAUGUCUUUAGUUCCUCUUCCCUAUAUUCCAGGAGAGAGAGUUUCCAUAAAGUAUAUGUUCCUUUUGUGUAAAGAACUGAAUAGCAAGAGUGAUAUUAUAAUAUUCCAAUGAGCCAAAUUUCCUUACAAAAAAAACUUACAAACAAUGGGCUUGCGGUUGUUUGGUAUGAUAAUAACUUCCCAAACUAUAUAUUUCCUUAUUGAGUUUAUUCCUUCCCGCAUUUCUUCCACUCAUAGUUGACAUUGAUGAAAAAUUUAAUCCUUCUUAGGAGUUUUCCUCUAGUAUUUAGAGUGACUUCCCCCCCAAAAUCACAUAACAAUUAUCCAGAGAUUACAUUCCAAGUUAAUUCCUCCCACUUAUCCUAAGCAUGUCAUGUUGGGAGUGUCACUUGUAGUUUCCUUGGGGUCAAGAUUAUAUUCCAGUAUGAUUGUCAAUAAUUCCACCCUUGAUGAUAAAAUGAUUGUGUUCCUACUUUCCACCAGUAUUCAUUUUCCAGAUAACUAAGAAAACACCCUUUGAUCCACUAGAAGAACCAUGAAAAAAUUCCUGGUGUGCGCUUUGUAAUAACUGUGAAUUUCAUGCCAAAAUAGAAUAUUUCCUUCCAGCCAAGUGACUGUACUAGAUGGAGAAAGAUACAACAAACGACAGUACACAAUGCUUCUUUCCAAACAAACAAGGGGGUAUACAAGACAGUCAAUUCCUCCGUUCAAUUGUGGAGUGUACGGUAUAUAACAAUGGUGAAUAAUUCCAUGCUCUUUACAUACAAAUGAUAUAUUCCUGAAGUGUACUUCCCCCACCAAUCGGUUGUUAAAACUAUGAAAUCUUUUAAUCAACUGAUUUUCCACUUCAGUAAUAGUAUGACAAGCACAAUUAAAACAUUCCGACUUGUAUUUUGAAAUAGUAUAAACAUAACCAUAUCAAUCAUCAACGAAUGAGAUAAAAUAAAUAAUCAGACCUCUAGUGGGAGUGCAAAGAAAAUACCAUAAGGCUACCAAAAUAAAUAAUGACGUGAAGCCUUUUCUUUUCCCACCUUCGGAAAAGUGUAAAUAAACUAAACAUACCAUCAUAUAUGCUUCACAAGAUACCAUAGUCCUCCCACUAAAGUUUAGAAUUCCAGAAUGAAUAAGCCAAUUCAUCUAGCUAGUUCCAAGAUAUGUGACCAAGUCGUUGAUGAUGUAGAUAAUAAAAUUCCAAGCAUUGUUCCCAUUGUCGGUAUUCCUCCAUAUGGAGUUAUCCUUUCCAAAUAAACAAAUUGGUUUGCCAACUUCCAAUGGAUAUCAAGAAAGAUAGAUCAUUGUGUGAAAAUCCAUAAUGCACUAACUUAACCAUUGAGCAAUAUUUCCACUUCCUUUUCCAAAUAGUAUGUCAAAAUCAAUAAAUUCCAAGAUGGAGCAAUAAAUUUAAUCCCUUCUCAUUGAGGUUAAAUAACAUGUCCUAUAACAACAAUAGUUUUCCUCCACGAGGGAGUUUUAUGGCAUAAUUUCCAAUUCAAAGUAUAUCAAUUUUCCUUUGAAAUUUUUUUUGCAUGCCAAUGAAGUUGCUAUGAUAUUCCAACAAUAAAUGAUGUAUAUAAAACACCAUAAUCCAACUAUUUGAAAAAAAAAAUACCACAAAUAAAUAUCUAUAGUGGAAAUAUUAUCAUUAGACAUACCGACAAACAAAGAGCAAAUUUCCUUGUCCUUGGAGUGACUCCCAUCUUCCUCCAUAAAUAAGUGAUGCUCAAUAAUAACACUUCUUUGAAAUCCCUUUCCAGAUUAUGAAUAAUUUUCCACAUAAUCAUUUGCUCGUUGCAAUUCAUCCAUGCAUUUAUGAUUUGGAGUCCUCCUAAAUUUCUUCCAAGGAGUGAUACCUUUUCCUUGCUAUGAUUUACACGCAAUGGAUUAGCAACCAAACAAGUUAGUUUGUUAAGCAGCAAUCUAAUAAAAUAAACUCAUUAAUAGAUGCUAGGAAAUAUGUGAAUUUAAUAUUCCUUCCCUGACAGCAUGCGUGCACAGGUGCCUUCAGAGAUUCCUCCAACAAGCCAGAACCACAAGGACAUAGUUUCCGUGUAUUCCGUUGAAUUCCAGAAUACUCGUCGAGUUCCACCACAAAAAUUAGAAUCACAGAAGCCAUUCUGUUCCGAUGUCGGUAUAAUUACAGAAUCGUUGGUCCUUGUGUGCAAAGCAGGAGGCGAGGGCCCGGCGACCGAGAAAAAAAAAUCGUUGCUAGGUCGGAUCGAAACCGAAACUUCUCUCUUUAUGACGACGCAACACUUCCUCCAGCAGUAGAACAAAGAAAUCCAGCGAAGAAUUGACGUGUAUGUGAUCACUUGUGCACCUCUUUGGCUCUUUGCAAUCCGUAGUACUAAUGUACAAUCAGCACUAUUACUCUCGAUCCGCUCGCGCAAAGAAACAAAACAGCCAAGGACACUAGCCUUCCUUGAUCAACAUGCGCUUUGAGAGCGAUCCAGAUGUACUCCUUUAUUGGUUGAUCACUCGAACCUGACUUUCCUCGCGCUGCAUCAGGGAACACGCAUGCGAUAUAAUCGCAUACUAGCCGCGUUAAGUGCGAGCAGCGUAUGCGUGCAGCACUGAGCAGUCAGCACAUCAAUCGACAGCAGCGGACACAGCGGAUUAUUUGUGGAUGGCGAUGGCUACAACGGCGACAGAGGUUCACGGCCGUGGCCGGCCGUCGGCAGUUUGAAGUAGUGGGAUUACGGGCCUGCACGAUCCACGGGCAUGCAAGAUGUACCAGCAGUCCUCGAUCCGUGUCACUUUUCCGGGACGAUCGAACGCAUAGCCCCGAACACAGAAGCACCUGGGAUUCUGCCGCGGCUAGCACCCGCUUGACGCGCCGCAGGAGUGCGACCAGGAAGAAGCGGUAGAUCAUGCACUAGACGCACGCGGGGACAGAACGAUACGCAGCGGGUUGUAUCCGGAUGGCAGCCGUCCACCUCAACGGCAGAGUUGCAGGACGGAUUAGGAUAGUGGCGGCGACCUUCAACCUAGCUCCGAUGCCAAUGUAAGAAAUUUAGGUUUUUGGUCUACCCCCUAUUCCUCUGCGCUUAUCCGUGGUGCCGCUCACAAUUCGCAUCUCUGAGGCUAGGGGGUAGGGACCUUCUUAUACUGUCUUUCCAAAGAGUCCACCUCUUAUACAGAUAUAAGAUUCCUAGUUUUUCUUCCACUAGUUUCCGGGAUAGAGUCCAGAUCAAAUUACCAAUCACGAUCAUAUUUGUCUGUUAACGGAUUCUACCCGUUAUGUCCCCGGAGCACGCGCUUGUGAGCAACGCGCCAUAAUAGAGUGUAAAUUCCUUUAAUUACGUAGAUCAACGUUAGGGCUGUAAUCUAACUAUACGAUCUAGCUCCUUCCAAUCAUCAAUGUACCCAGGUAGUCUUUCCAAUAUAAAUAAUAUAUUUUAUUCCACUGAUAAUCGACCAGCUUCCUUAAGCAUAUAUCACUUAAGUACAUUUCAGCAAGUAACAAUUUCAUGCUAAACAUGUAAAUCAAUUCCAUGUAUAAAUACAUGUACAAUUCCAUAAUGAGGUAUUCCGAAUAUUAGUAAUUCCUAGUAAUUUGAAUAUAGUUGCAGGACACAUAAUUCCGACAACACCGUGCCCGCGGCCGGCGGCACCACAUUGAUCUCCCUCAUCCGGCCCUCAUUUCAGCCGUCGAGACCAGAUUCGGGCUGCUCUCCGCGUCGUCUUUCAGCUGCCCUUCCUCUCCCCUUCAGGCUCUCAAGGCGCUGCUCAUGGCCCUCACGUUCGCGUCGUCAUCUCCGACUUUGUUGGAAGCCUCGGCUGCUGCCGCCGCACUGGCCGCGGCUGCUCUUGCCUCCCGCAUGGCCGCCCCGACAGCUGGCGGCCGUCUGUCCCGUGCUGGGCUCCCGCCGAGGCCAGAUGUGGCAGCAUCUCCGAUGGUGCAGUCGGGCAUGCGCUCCCUGCCUCGCCCCCGGCCUCCUCCGCUCGGUGUCGCUGCGUUUUCUGCCCUGGACGCGGCGCGUGCUGCUCUAGAUCGUGCUCCUGGCCUGGUGGUUGGAGGGCUUGGAUCCCCUGCCUCCGCUGACUCUGCUCCUGGCAGCACCACGCCGUCAGCCCCGACUUCUAUUGUGGGCGUGUCGUCCCCAACUCUUGCCGGCGCUGCUACGGUGUCCUCGACUCCUGUGGAAGCCCCGCCGCCACCCCCGGCUGAUGUUGCUGAAGCACCGUCCAUGACUCCGGCUAGCAACACCGCAUCGUCCACGACUCCGGCUGGCACCACUGCACCGUCCCCGACUCCUGUAGAAGUGGCGCCAUCCCCAACUCCUGACGGUGUUGAGCCGGGUCUGAACAAGGCGCGACAUGUUUCAUGGAGCUCCCUUACCAACGAUGAAGAUGACGAGGAUGACAAUGUGCUGGCCCCGCCGCCGGCUACCAAAUCCUCAGUUCCGGCAGCUCGGCCAGGCAUGGCGUGUGAUGCGGAUUCAUGUGGUGGUUGGCAAAAGGUGAUGCCACGGCGCAACGUGCAAUGUCCAGUGUCACUAGGCCCAACACUGGCUCCCCGUCCUAUCCCCGCUUGGCUUCAUGGUAGAUGUUGCAAAUGCCUCUAUCCUGGACACCGUGCAGCGGAGUGUCGAGAUCCUUUUAGGUGUUCUCGAUGCCUUGAGAAUGGUCAUCGAGCGUGUGGGUACCGCAAUGCCUGGCAUCCCCUUAGCUUUUUGGGAAGCCCUACUUUGUCGCCAUUGCCCCGCCUCACUGUCGGACACCAACAAGCUUCAGUUCCUCACAAGGUCCAGAAAGAUGUCGCGCCCCUCUCAAAGACGUUUGGUCGUGAUUCUUGGGCAUCGAUCGUUGCUGCUCCUGCUGGCUUUGUGGCCUCGGCGGAUAUCCCAGUGCGGCCUACCUUGGAGAGGCAGGCCGAGCUGUUGCGCUCUGAGCUCGUUGAUAUGGCUUCCUUCCGGCUUGAGGAGACGGUCCAGCCUCUGCGUGAUGUCGUUGACUUCAUGCAAGGUUGGAUGUUGCGGAUGGAGAGCUUCAUGGAGCAAGUUGAGGAUGCACUAGGAGGGCUCUCCUUGGCGCUGCCUGUGUUGCAGAGUGCUCAUGUGUUGCACCCUUUGGUUGUGCCUGAUGGCAGCUUCGAGGUUGAGAGGGGAGACGAGCUUCAUGGUUGUUUCUCCCCUCGUGCUAGAGCCAGCUCACCGCCGUCGGCCUAUGAGGGUCUAGGAAAUGAUGUGGUUGUGACUCCGGUACUGCAGAUCAUGCCUGAUCUUCGGGAGCUGUGUGGGGGCUUGGUUCUGCCUCUGUCCGUCGAACAACCGAAGGUAGACCUUCCUAAGAUCUCAAUUGUGGCUUAUCGCCAGCAUCACCCCUGGAGUCUAGCCAGAUACUUGAUGCUGAGGAGUGUGGUGAUUUGGAUGUUUCAGUCUCUCGAUCUCCUAAGUCCAUUGGGUCUGAGGCACCAACCAGUCUACCCCUUGGUGUCAUGGAGCAUGGAGUUUUGGAUGUUGAUGAUAUUUCCUCGUUUGCGACCACGGAGCGGGUGAUGCCUGUGAGUGACAUGACCAUUGAGCCAAGUGGGUUGGCACCUACUCGAAAUCCAGAUGCUCUCUUUGCGAAGGAACUUUGUGACUUACUCGCCAGUGUGGAGGUUGCUAGACCUGAUUUGGGUAGGUCGAUUGCUUGCCUCUUGACAUGGACACCAAUAAGGAGCAAACAAAAGAAGGUGGGCAAAUGAAAGAGUGGCGCCAUGGGCAAGGCGUCUCUCGCUGCUUGAUGGAUGACAUUCCAUCUCUCGGUCCGCUUUGAUUGGGUUGUCAUUGAGGGUUGGGAGGUGCCUGAUGUCUUGUGUCGAGCUGUUCUUGUUGGGGGUCUCUUGGUGUAGUAGCGAUGUCGAGGUUUGUCGAUGUUGUGUAUUCAGAGAGUCUGGGAGGGACCACAUGUGUUGUUGUGGGGUUCCUUGCCAUGUGAGGAGUUAGUUCGUGCUCCAUUUGUAUUGGUUUUCGCCCGGUUUUCUGUAAAUUAACUGGGCAAUCUUCUUCGUCUUAAUUAAUCGAUGAGGCAAAACUUUUACCUCCAUUUCGAAAAAAACUGAAGAGUUUUCGGGGAAGCAGCCGAGAUUCAUAGGGAAAGUGUUGGGUUUGAUGGUGAACACAAAUUUUUGUCAUAAUUUCCCCUUGAAACAUUUGUGUUAAGAUACAUCAGUUCAAGUUUCAUGUUCAAUUUUAAGACUUUUUCAGGUUAAUUUGAUACGUGACGAACGUGCCUCGAGGACAUCUUCAAUUUCUAAAUAACCUACACCAUAGCUUUUGUUAAAAAAAUUAACCACAUACUCUACAUCUCAUGUAAUGACGCCAUGCAAAGUUUCGUAGGUUUCAGACAACAUUAAAAAAAUCUGAAAAUUUUGAAAAUCAUCUUACAUAUUGAAAAUUAAGUUUGUGUGUUUUAAUGUCCACAUAUGCAUAUUUGAAAGUACCAAAGUUUUGUCUCAUAACAACCAAGUACUCAACCUAUAUGAUAACUGCCUUAUUUAUGAUAUUUCUCACUUUUUUUUGGAAAUUUUUAAAUCUAAGUUCAAAUUUUAAUACGCAAAUUUAUUAAUAAAAUGCAUAAAAUAUAGCACAUAAUUGGCGAGUGGGAGCGCUGACGCCAGGGAGGUGGAGGCUAUCCCCUCGACAAGUCGUGCCCCGGCUAAAAAACGCGUGGCAAAACCGGUGACAUCCAGUGGGGUGCGCCUUCACAACCGUAUUAUUUAGAUGCGCUACCUUUUUUGGAACAUUCGGGGUUGCGGCCACGCUGGCCGUCGGACCCAGCUUAAAGAAUACAUUGCUAGGGAGUGCAUUGACGUGGUUGCGCUCCAGGAAACGAUUAAAGCUGAUUUCACAUAUAGAGAUUUGGCUGCCUACGAUCCUCUCCAUCGUUUUGUCUGGGGCCGGGUGCCGUCUGUAGGCCAUUCUGGUGGUCUCCUUUUGGGAUGUAACAGUGAUGUAUGCGAUGCUGUAAGCUGGGAUGUGGGCGCGUUCUUCAUUUCUGUCACGAUUAAACACAGGAUCUCGCUUGCUACAUGGGCAAUUGUUUGCGUCUACGGCCCGACUGACCACUCUAGGGCGGCUGAUUUCUUGGGAGAAAUCCAAAGCUUGGUUGGGUCUAAGCAAGGCGCCAACAUCCCCAUUGUCCUUGGGGUGAUUUUAACCUUAUCCGUUCGGGAGCGGAUAAGAAUAACCCUAACAUUGACUGGCCUAGAGUUAACUUGUUCAAUAAUACGAUUGCAUCAUUCGCCGUGCGGGAGAUUGCUAGGACUGGUGCUAGAUUCACGUGGACCAACAAGCAACUGUCGCUGGUGCGCAGUGUUCUGGACCGGGUGUUUGUGUCCUCCGACUGGGAAGUGUUAUUCCCCAUGUGUACGCUGGUUGCGGAAACGCGUAUUGGGUCGGAUCAUGUGCCACUGAUCCUAGCCUCGGGGGAGGACCGGAUCAAGCGCAGCCCCCGUUUCUUCUUUGAAACUGGGUGGUUUGAGAUAGAGGGCUUCGGGCCCUUGCUCAUGGCGCGCUGGGAGCGUGCCAGAGCGGCGGUCGGCUGCUCCAGGGGUCCUUUGGACACUUGGAUCGCGGCGGCUGUGACCCUUCGGGGUUUCCUCCGUGGGUGGGGUGCAAACCACGGGAGCGAAGCGAAGCGCGCUCGGGAAGCUAUUAUUGCUGAAAUCAAAGCCCUCGACGAACAAGCUGACUCCAGACCCUUCCUGGAAGCCGAAUGGGCCCACCGUUACGCUCUUGAGAACCAGGUGCUCGCCAUUCUUAGGGAGGAGGAGGAAAAUUGGCGCCGUCGGGGCGGCGUCAAGUGGGUUACCAAGGGCGAUGCGAAUACGGGAUAUUUGCACGCCUAUGCCAACGGUCGUAAACGGAAGUGCUUGAUUUUGAGACUUCAAUCUGAUCAAGGGAUUUUGGUUAGUCAGGCUAACAUCGUGGCACAUAUCUAUGACUUCUUUCUUAAUCUGUUGGGAACAGAUGAGGAAAAGCGCCUCCAGCUCCGGGCAGACUUCUGGGGGGAAGAGGGCCGCGUGUCUCAAGUCAAAAAUGACCUCUUGGCUUUGACUUUCUCCACGGAGGAGAUCGACGAAGCCGUGGGUGCAAUGAAGAUUGACACGGCGACUGGUCCGGACGGCUGGCCGGUCGCGUUUUUCCGACGCUUCUGGCCGAUGUUUAAAGACCUUUUCUGCGGGAUUAUCAAUGGUUUUCCGCUAGGUACGGUAGAUGUUUCGCGCCUUAACUAUGGUGUGAUUAGCCUUAUUCCCAAAGUCAAAGGGGCCGACACUAUCAAGCAGUACCGUCCUAUCACUCUCAUUAACGUACCUUUCAAGAUUUGCUCAAAGGCGUAUGCGACCAGACUUGCUCCGGUCGCGCAGCGCGUUUUAAACCAUAGUCAGUCUGGCUUUCUCAAAGGCCGCAACAUUCUUGAAGGGCCGAUAGUGUUGCAGGAGACUAUCCAUGAGCUUAAACGCACCGGGCAACAGGCCGUGCUCCUAAAGCUUGACUUUGAGAAAGCAUAUGAUCGCGUGAACUGGGAGUUCAUCCGCGAGGUGUUGACUCGCAAGGGAUUCGAGUCAGGCUUUGUCCACCGCAUCAUGCAUUUGGUCUCGGGUGGCCAGACCGCGGUGUCGAUCAACGGAGAGGUUGGGAACUUCUUCCGCAACAAAAGAGGUCUCAGGCAAGGGGAUCCCUCCUCGCCCCUGAUUUUCAACUUUGUUGCGGACGCCUUAUCAGCCAUGAUCCAUAAGGCUAAGGACGCCGGUCACAUACGCGGAGUGGUCUCUCACCUCAUUCCGGGUGGUCUCACCCACCUCCAAUAUGCGGACGACACAUUCCUGCUCUUUGAGCCUGACGAUCAUAGCGUAGCUUCAGUCAAACUUAUUCUCCUCGCUUUCGAAAUCAUCUCUGGUCUUAAGAUCAAUUUCCUUAAGAGCAAGGUAAUAGCCAUUGGGAUGGAUCCUCCGCUCGCUUCUCAUGUAGGCAAUCUACUUAAUUGUAAGCUAGGGAGCUUUCCAAUUAAGUAUUUGGGCCUGCCUAUCUCAGAUAAACACAUCUCCAUUCUGGAAUGGGAACCCUUGUAUGGCAAGGUGGCAAAUAGAGUUAGCCCCUGGCGUGGUCGUUUCCUCUCCUCGGCGGCCAGAUUAAUUCUAACUAACUCUAGCAUGUCUUCCCUUCCUCUGUUCAUGAUGGGCAUGUUUUUGCUGGCUGAUGGGGUUCAUGACAGGCUUGAUACGCCCCGAUCCAAGUUCUUUUGGGAAGGAACGGGGAUCAAAAAGAAGUACCACCUAAUCAAAUGGGCCGCGCUCUGUCGCCCUAAGAAAUUUGGAGGUUUUGGGAUUCUUAAUUCGAAGCUAAUGAAUGUCGCUCUCUUAACCAAGUGGAUUUGGAAACUCUCCCAAAACGAGCAAGGGCUCUGGGUGGAUAUUCUUCGCGCCAAAUACUUCCUAGAUGGGAAUUUCCUUACCUCCAAAGCUAAGGGAUCAACUUUUUGGAAUGGGAUCCAGGAAGUUAUGCCAGCAUUCACCUUAGGAGCCAAGUUUUGUGUCAACAAUGGGUCCUCAACACGGUUUUGGUUGGACCACUGGUUUGGCUCGGAACCCUUGUGAAAAAGCCAUUCCAUAGCAUAUCGGCUUGCUACUAACGUGGAUAUCCUAGUGGCAGAUGCGAUGCAUACCAAUCCGCCUGCGGUCUCUUUCAAAAGACCCCUGCUUGAUAACGAACGAGCCUGUUGGGACGGGCUUGUAGCUGAUGUGGCGGGAGUGAACCUUCGUCCUGAGGCCGACUCGGUCUCCUGGGCUCUCUCGCGCUCGGGGAAGUUUUCUGUCCAAUCCUUGUACAACAAAAUGACCGAGGGACCGACCCUGGACAUAGCUAGGGGGCUAUUGAAAGCUGCCAUUCCCUUAAAAAUCAAAAUCUUCGUGUGGCAGAUGUUUCGCGAUCGCCUGCCCUCCUCCAAUAAUAUCGCUCGUAGGAAUGGGCCCUCUGACGGCUCUUGCGUGCUAUGUGGCCAACAUGAAGAUGCCAACCACAUAUUUUUUAACUGUCAUCUUGCUCGCUUUGCUUGGAGUGCGGUUAGGGAGGCGUUCGGGCAGACUUGGGAUCCUCGCUCUACCUCGGACCUGCGCGCUUUACUAGCUGCUUUUAGGGGUGGUUUUGGCCGGGUCUUAUGGCGCUGCGUGGGAGCCUUGCUGUGGUCCAUUUGGACCACCCGCAAUAAGAUGACUAUCGAGCACAAAUUUCCUUCUCACCCGGCUGACAUUAUUUUUAAAUGCCACUUAUUUCUUCAGACAUGGACACCGUUGGGGAAACGGCGUGAUGCGGAUCGGAUGUCGAAGGCGAUGGAGCGGAUUCGGACGAUCCAGAUUGAUGCCCGCCACUAGCCUGCCGUAGGCUCUGAUCUUUUGGACCGGCACAUUGCUCUAUGUUGCUUAUCUCCUCUUGCAGGCUUCGGCCGGUAGCAUGUAUCGUACCUUGGCUACGGCCGUUUUAUCUUUGUUGUUAUGUGUUGAACCUGUUGGAUGCUGCCUUAUGUGGGCUUUAUUAAUUUAAAGCCGGACGCCUCCGGCGUCUUCGUUCUAAUUUUUUUUUUGAUGGCUUGAGUUCGAUCUGGAUUGGAUCAUUGGGUGCGGACGCAGCGUAUUUCCACGAGCGAGCCGCGAGGACGACAUCGAAGCUUAUUUUCAGCCUCCCGUCUAUAUGCGCUGUGCAAGCGCAGGCCAGAACCAUAUGAAAAGCUUAGCAGCCAGCGGCCGCCGCCGGCGUUAGCUGCAGCAUGCAUGUGACUGCACACCAUGCCAAGAAGCCCGCGCGUAUCGACAACGCCCGGAAAAGGACCCGUUUGUGCAGACGCGUGGAAUUCCGUAUGUACUAGCAUGGAUGAGACGGACUGUGAGCCAUAGUCAUGAUGCGCCCGUUGUCCUAUCACCCGGCCGUCGGGUUUUCUCCCCGCAAAUAAAGAUCGCGCGCGCAACGUGGAAAAGCCUGAUGUGAAUUAUGCAUCGCCAGCGCAUUUCCCUGCGCUGCACCCGAGCCGAGCAGCUAUAAAUACAGCUGCAAACCAAGCAGCUUCAUCACACAAGCGUCCUGCAAGCCCUCCUCCUGCGCUACACCGCACAGGAGUGCAUUACACGAGCUGAUCAGCUGAAGGUGAGUUGGCCUAUGGCGAGGUUUGCUGCCCUCGCCGUGUGCGCCGCCGCGCUCCUGCUCGCCGUGGCGGCGGGGGGUGCCGCGGCGCAGGGCGUGGGCUCGGUCAUCACGCGGUCGGUGUACGCGAGCAUGCUGCCCAACCGCGACAACUCGCUGUGCCCGGCCAGAGGGUUCUACACGUACGACGCCUUCAUCGCCGCCGCCAACACCUUCCCGGGCUUCGGCACCACCGGCAGCGCCGACGAAAUCAAGCGCGACCUCGCCGCCUUCUUCGGCCAGACCUCCCACGAGACCACCGGUACGUCAGUCAGCCACUGUUGAUUUCGUUUGAUGUUUUCAACGGAUUUCGUGGCACUUUUGAUUUGGACAUGCAUCGCUGCCUUGGUUAAUCGUGUUCGUGCUUGUGCAUGCCGUGUCAACGUGUAGGAGGGACGAGAGGCGCUGCCGACCAGUUCCAGUGGGGCUACUGCUUCAAGGAAGAGAUAAGCAAGGCCACGUCCCCACCAUACUAUGGACGGGGACCCAUCCAAUUGACAGGGUAAGCAAGAUCCCAAGUUUAUGGUCUAUAAGACGAUCUCUGAAACACCAUCCACAUGAAAAACAGUAUAUUGGUCAACACUGAUAUCACAGACUGAAAUAAUCUGUAGAAAAAAAUCUGCUUGAAAAGUACAGCUGUGUUGACAUUCUAGCUAUCCGCUAAUCACGACCUGAUCCAAAUAAGCUUUCGUUUUCGCGUGCAAUAGUUAUUGAUAAUAACAAAGACACGGUUGGGCCUUGGUUGCCUUGGCGAUGAGAUUGUUCUGAUGAACCAAUAACUCUUCCUCGUGCGAUUGACCAGGCGGUCCAACUACGAUCUUGCCGGGAGAGCGAUCGGGAAGGACCUGGUGAGCAACCCAGACCUAGUGUCCACGGACGCGGUGGUGUCCUUCAG
rnacentral:lncRNA from 1 species